rnacentral:lncRNA from 1 species
AGAAGGAUAGGUUGGCCUUGACUUCUAAAGGACUUGAAUGUCGGACAAGAAGAUUUACACUUCACUUGGGAAAAAAUGUAGGCAGUCACUGAAUUUCAGAACUCGAAAGGGUUCCCAAGACCAUCUAGUUGAAGACAGACCUGAAGAAGAAUGCUUUCAUGACCAUCUAGCUUUUUGAUAGACCUAAGGGGGAAGAGGGUAAGAGAAGAAGUGUGGACGAGUGGAGAGAAUUCCUACUAACCAAAUUCCCCCUGUCACUGAAGAUAGUCAACUGUUCUUGAAUUUAUGCAUCAUUCUUCAACAAUUAAAGAUUUGCCCAGGCUACUGGAAGGUAAGUGUCAGCUUGUAUAGGUCAGAG